rnacentral:tRNA from 1 species
UGGUGUNGCUCAGUUGGUAGAGAGCUUGCCUGGCAUGCAGGAAGGCCUGGGUUUGAGCCCNAGCGUCA